rnacentral:lncRNA from 1 species
UCUCUAGUGUUUAUUCACAUGGACCCAUCUUUUCUAUUCUACUGUGGCAUUGAGAAACGCCCAUCAUUCCAUGAAUAUGAAUAAUAAUAGUAAACAAUAGCUUCCUGUUGGGUCCAUAUCUGCUACUACACUUGCAGGGUUUUGUUUUUGGGGGUUUUGGGUUUUGGGGAGGUUUUUUUUUUUUUGUUUUCUUUUUCUUUUUUUGCCAAUUAAAACCAGAUUGAUUUUCCUAAUGACCUGUUUCGCUCACUUGUUAAAAGCCUUUUGUGGUGUCAUAUUGCCAAGUAGAUAAAGUUUAAACACUUCUCAUUAGUACCAGAGAUCUCAUAGUCCCUAGACUUACUGAUCAAAUAUACUUUGCACACCUACCAGACAAUCCCCUGAGUACAGUGAGCAUGACAUCUCUGCCAUGUUUGAAUCACUCUCAGCUUACAAAAAUGUGUACAGGGAACUGUUGAUUUCACCACAACAAGACUGAUUAAACUGAAUCUUUUACAUAUUUGAAAACUUU